CCAAAGAUGUCUGAGAGCAAAAUACAAUUCUUCAUAUUAACAUCACAAUAGUUCUCUUAGCUGGGAGAGAGGGAUCAACUGAAGCAGGGGAUUAGACAGAUGAACUAUGGACACCAGAUCCCCAACCCCCAAAAAACUGAAAUGUGGAAAC
rnacentral:lncRNA from 1 species